AAUUAUUAUUGAUGAAUAAUGAAUAGGAAGUAUAUAUGCAUUAUAAAUGGCAUAAUGGUGCAAUAUACAUUAAAAAUUUACUUUUUAAUAUAUAUUAAAUGCAUAUAUUUAUAUUGCAGCUGUGUGAUACUUAUUUGUAGCAGUUUUAGCUGUAAUUAUUAUUGAUGAAAACGUUACUGAACCUGUGGAAAGUUUGGACUUGAGGAUUAGACUUUCAAGAUAACAUAGCGUUUCUAAAUUAGAGUUCUACAUUUUCUCGUAGAAAUUGAAGAGAUGAAUGUGAGUGAUAUAUUUUGCACAUUUAUGAAACUUCGCCAUUUUUCUAAACUGUCAGUAUAAUGGAUGGCAGUAUAAAAGACCCGGAAAAAGAGCGUCCUACAUUUAAUAUAUCUGGACACGGUAUAGUGAAACGUGCAUGUGGGAUGCACGCACAGUUUAUCAUACGCCCACUGAAUUCGUCGCGUUACACCAUCACUGAAAUUACUGUAAACGCGUCAGCAGUGUCUGCGUCGCUUUCUUCGAAUAAGAACAAUGCGAACAAAUGCAAAUUAACUAAUUGACCGUUCAGCCGUUACAUACGUGCAUAUACAGAUCAUUUUCGCAGUUUCAAAAGAAAAAGGAAGGACUAAUGUCUUUUUUUCUUUUUAUUCUAAAUUUAAUGUCAGUCACUAAACUAAGAUUUUUCUCAUUUUUAUCAUUGUCAGUUGAUUUUGGAAAAAGUGAUCACUUUCUCAGAAGUUUGUUGUACAGUAUAAACAAUGCUGUGAAAUCGGGAAAUAAAUUUAAGAUAGCACAUCCGAGAUUCUGAUCCGUAAUUAACGGGUCUCCCUAGAGAGAGAGCAAUCAUCAGCACAAUAGGAAUGAUGAACAGGGACAAGUUGCUACAUCUUUCAUCAAGCGGAAUCGCGUUCCAACGCGUAACGGGUUUCCUCUCUCUCUCUCUUUUCCUCAUGCUCUUCCCGUGGCAUUCCAGCAGCUUUUGUCGAGGUUGUACCACAAUCUCGAUUGCUGUAUUUGGCAUUAGCAUUUUGUUACUCGCACUUUCGUGCAAGCUUUCGUUGUCACGGACGAAACGGAACUGGUGCCUCGAGGAAUAUCUGCUGCGCUAUCAGAAACAUUUCCGGAGAACACCUAUGACUGACUAUUUCCCUGCAUGAUUCAACGUCAAAUAUAUGAAAAAGCUAUAUGAUAACGAUUGACAUUUACGAACACUCUAAGAAGCAUCACUGCGUAGUAAUAAGUAAAAUAAUACAAUCAAGAUUUAAUUGCAAAGAACAAACUGGAACAGGAAGAAAUCAGAGAAUAUAUGGAACGAACAGUCAUCUUUAUUAAUGCGUGGGUGGACAAAACGCAUUCAACGACCUGAAGCAACUUUCUGUUGCCUGCAAGACCAUCGUCCAAGGUCCCUCGGUGACCAUAAUAUUCGUCUCUAGCGUGUUCGUGACCGUGACCACCUCCUAACUCGGUGACUGGUACACGAAACAGAAACGCAUGUACUGUUCAUCGGGAUGACCCACUUCGAGCAACUUGUUUUCGGGGUUUUAUUCUUGAGAAUCGUUUAUUCGGCUACAUCAGGUUCAUGAAUCAUUCGCUUUUCCAUGGUCAACGGAGAGAAUCGUAAUAAUAUUCAUCGCUGACAUUCCUCCUCGACCUUUUUUUUUCUUUAUCGUGCCUCUGUCAAUGGUUCAUUGUAUUUAUUGGGGUCGUCGAAGGGUCUCUGAUCAAUUAUUUCAGUGAAGUAUCUCUCUUGUUGACCCUUUUUUCUCUUGUCUGUUCACACUGUAUCGUGCGAUAUAUAUAUAUAUACAUACAAUCAUGUGAAUUCGCAUUUUUGUAAAUUAAAAAAACGAGCAAUUUUU